AUGAAGAAAAUCUGGGUUCCCAAAAGUUAUGUUGAAAGUCUUCAGGUGAAUGUCCUCAUGACACCACCUGUGAAGAAUAGGAACCCCAGAACAAACUCUUCAUAUGGACCUAAUUCUUCAUAUGGAUCCAAGUCCUCAUAUGGAUCAAAUUCCUCAAAUGGAUCAAAGUCCUCAUAUGAUUAUCAUCGUGCUAACAACUCUGUUUCACAGGGUAGAGCUAAGGGCUACGAAUAUGCACAUUAUUCUUCAAAUCAUUAUGUUCAUAAGUCCUCGAAGAAUUUCUCUGCUUAUUCAUAUGCUUACCCUAACCCCUCUUAUGUGAAACGAAAUGGUUUGGCUUCUAUGCCACCAUUCUCGUAUGGUGCUCGCAGAGUGAUAAACUCUUUGCCACCCCUUCAGAUGUGGGUGGUAAAGAAAAAGAACUAA
rnacentral:rRNA from 1 species